UUUUUUUUUUUAAACUAAAUUAGCCUAAAAAUAAAACUGUAAAAAUCUUGUUUCUUAGUACCUCACUUAGCACUUCUUCAGAUUGCACGAAUUCAUUUAGCGCAAAAUCUCAGCAGGCAAAAAAAAAAGUUGGGCAUGACGCCACAAAGUCUGUUUCAACUUUUGUAAACCACAGAUUUGCCGUGGCAUAUAGUUAGCCUUACAAGGGUGGAAGAGAUGCGCGUGCAGGUCUGACUACGCUAUUGGCUGUUGUACAAACAUAGGCUAUGGCAAGUUAAGUUGCGGCUAUGGAGUGUAAAGGACCAAAUGUUUUUACUUCCGCCUGUAUGCCGCCGUGCCGUACCGUUGUCGCCUGGCAACAGACCGGGUGGUGAACUCAGUCUAGCCAGUGGCAGGGAACUCGCACAACACAAAGCAACGUCUGCCCAUUCCUUUGCUGGUAACUGUACGUGCGCAAGCACCUGCAGUGGGAAUUAUAGUGGAAUCAUGACUUCCAAGUGAAGCAUAAUGCAUCAUGUUCAAGCGUUUGAGACAAACUAAAAAUAUUACGGCGUGCAGAAUGUCAUGAAGGCCACACUUAUGUUGGUUGCUCUUUAGUUUUAAGCAAGUCAACUGUGCGCACAAUCGUAUGAAAUAAGAACUCUAUCAAAAGUUUAUAUAAGUCUGAUGCUGUUGGUUAUACUAGCGGGAAUAUAUUUGACAUUAGAUACUGGAACAGAAAUGAACAGUUGAUUCACAUGGGAAAGGUUGUUAAAUAUACUUUGCAAUGAAAGAAAUAAUUAUUGACCGGACAGGUUUUGUGUGAACCAGGAGGUGAUACGUGAAUAAGCACUUUAAUUUUUGAAAAAUUAAAAUGUAACUAUCCGGACAGAAAUAUUGGUUACACUGUCAGAAAAGGAUGGCUUGGAAAGGUACGCAACGUGAGCAAAUUAGCCAGCCGACUCAUGUUUCGCAUUGUCUUAUUUAUCAUACAAAGUUCGAUGGGAGGCAUAUAAAGAUAAAUGGUGUGAGAUAUUUAUCAUUCAGUGUUAUUCUAAGAAUUACUUUACGUAAAGUAUAUUUUCGUGCACAAUUUUGGAACACAUUAAAUAUAUUAGCCUUACUAUUUAUGGAAACUAAUGCUUCAGAAUAUGCAAUUUCGAAUAACACGAAGGAUGGAUUUUUAAUAUAUCUGUAGAUACUUUAUUAUAAAGCUCAUUUUUCUUUACUGCAUCAUAUGCCAUUUAUUAUUUAUUGGUCACUGUGCAGAAUAUACAAGAAAAAAUAUUGAUGUGGAAAAAUGUACCAUAAUUCAAAAGACCCUGGCCGUCCGAUUAGUUUAAAAAAUGUCUGGCCUUGAAAAAAAAUGAUAAUGGGAGUCAGUGGUCUAAACGUUAGCAGUUCUUGACAUCCACUACUGCAAACAUGGGUAAGUCUAGAACUUGGAGGAGUGCUGCAAGGGCACUGUACAUGCAGAAUGAGAAGAUGAAACAUUCAUCACAAAGAGAUUGCAGUGAAAUAUUUCUAGGCUAUCUGAAUGGUUGCAAUGAUCAUAAUUCCAACUGUCCCUAAUUGUAAAAAACAAAGUGUGCACAUCUACUAUUAAUUAGUUAUGUAGAAUGUUAAUACCAGGAUUUAUAACCUUCCUUUAAUUUAAAUUGUAAUAAUUCCUGUUUGGUAAUGGUAGGUUGUUGUUGGAUGAGUUGUUUCCAUCAUGGGUGUGUAUAGAAGCAGUACACGGCAGGCGUAAACCUUUUGUACAAAAGGUUAUCUUUUAUCAUAAGCAUGAGCCUUUACUCUGGUGUUAUCUCUUAUCAGGUUACUGAUAUUUUCUUGAGUCAUUUAAUUCCAAUGGAAGGUGUGGAGAAGCAAAGCUCUCUUAUCUAGAUGUGCUGUUUUGCUAAUGCCGAGAAUUUUGUGGUGAAUUCAUUUUAAAAUGUGCUGUUCAUUGGUGAAAUGAAGAAUUCUGCAUCCAAAAACAUAGCAAAAGAAGAACAGACGAUGGGAAAGUCGUUUUGGAAACUCAAAGGCCUUCAUCUUUUACAUCACACACAAUUUUGGAACCUGCUGUCAACCCACAACAGCUCUUUGAACCUGCAGCAUCGGAAGUUGAGGACUGUUGGUGGCAGUGGCUGUGGUGCAGUUGCUUGAGAGCCCUCAGAAGAGAAGACACGCAGCCACUACUCGUGAUGUCAUCAAGCGAGGACGACUCGAGCGACGACGAAAUGGUUGAGUGGGAUGUGCGAAGCAUGCAGAGUUCUACUUUCUCCAGGACUACACAGUAUGGACCAUUCGGGAAAAAGCUCAUGUUAAGUUCACAGAUUGUAACACCACAAGAACAUCAUCUGUGAGAAUUUGAAGUUGUAAAUCAAGACCAUUUUUAUUAUCAAACAAUGUGAAUGUAUGUUCUUUAAUGACAUUUUUCAUACAUGGGCACAUGUCAUACAAACGCAGAAUAAACUGGAAUUUAUGUUGCUUUA